GUUGUCGGCCAUACUAAGUCUAAAGCACCGGAUCCCAUUCGAACUCCGAAGUUAAGCGACUUAAGGCGAGGUUAGUACUAACGUGGGGGACCGCUUGGGAAGUCCUCGUGUUGACAACC
rfam:Paramecium tetraurelia chromosome undetermined scaffold_162, whole genome shotgun sequence.